GCUGGUGUGAGGUCCUCACCAUGGACCUCUACAAGGUGGCAUUUCUGCUGGGAGCCUUCAUCUGCACUGGGCUGGAAGCUCAAUUUGUCAUCUACCCAGGGGGGAACCAGUAUUUGACCUGCAUCACUGGCAAUGGUGCUGCGUACCGCGGGACAGUGGGCGUGACAGCGAGUGGUCGAACAUGCCAGGAGUGGGCAGCUCAAACGCCACACCAUUCAGACAUUUCGCCACUGAUGUAUCCCUACGCCGGCUUAGAUAAAAACUAUUGUCGCAACCCCAAUAAUGGUGUUACACCACUGACCCUUUUGUACGUUGGGAGUACUGCAACUUGCCGCUCUGCAACAGGAUCCUCCCUCCAGGGGAGUGUAUGCACUGCAACGGUGAAAACUACAGAGGAUCUAUUUCCUGGACACAAAAUGGUUUCACCUGCCAGCGCUGGGACUCACAAUAUCCUCACAUCCAUUGGGCAAAAGAAAGUGAUGGAGGUCAAACUCUGGAAGGGAACUUCUGCAGGAAUCCCAAUAAAGAUGUUGCGCCGUGGUGCUACACCACAGAUCCAGCCAAAAGAUGGGAUUAUUGCGACAUCCCCCGCUGCUCAUCACCACCUCCCCCCCUUAUCAAUCCUGAGAUGAUCUGUAUGACUGGUAAUGGUAAGAACUACCGCGGCACAUUGUCUGUGACUCAGAAUGGUUAUCCAUGCAAAAGGUGGUCGGAAAGUCCCUAUAAACCUGAAAGUUUCCCCUGCAGUGAUUUACGCCACAAUUAUUGUCGUAAUGUGUUGGGAAGGACAAGCAAACCAUGGUGUUACAUCGGUAACAACAUGUGGGAUUACUGCUAUGUGCCAGAAUGUAUUUUCAAUAUUUAUCAAGGUUUGCCACGGAUAUCGGACCUGGACUUCUUUGACCUGGAAAACCUUAAUUAAACUGCAACUGCUUCAGUACAGUAUGAUAUAAAAC